rnacentral:rRNA from 1 species
UACGUAGGGGGCAAGCGUUAUCCGGAUUUACUGGGUGUAAAGGGAGCGUAGGCGGCUUAGUAAGUCAGAAGUGAAAGCCCGCAGCUCAACUGCGGGACUGCUUUUGAAACUGCCAGGCUAGAGUGUCGGAGAGGUAAGUGGAAUUCCUAGUGUAGCGGUGAAAUGCGUAGAUAUUACACAGAACACCGAUUGCGAAGGCAGCUUGCUAGGCCGGAUCUGACACUGAUGCACGAAAGCGUGGGGAUCGAACAGG